rnacentral:rRNA from 1 species
AUUGAACGCUGGCGGCAGGCUUAACACAUACAAGUCGAGCGGAGAUGAGGUGCUUGCACCUUAUCUUAGCGGCGGACGGGUGAGUAAUGCUUAGGAAUCUGCCUAUUAGUGGGGGACAACAUUCCGAAAGGAAUGCUAAUACCGCAUACGUCCUACGGGAGAAAGCAGGGGAUCUUCGGACCUUGCGCUAAUAGAUGAGCCUAAGUCGGAUUAGCUAGUUGGUGGGGUAAUGGCCUACCAAGGCGACGAUCUGUAGCGGGUCUGAGAGGAUGAUCCGCCACACUGGGACUGAGACACGGCCCAGACUCCUACGGGAGGCAGCAGUGGGGAAUAUUGGACAAUGGGGGGAACCCUGAUCCAGCCAUGCCGCGUGUGUGAAGAAGGCCUUAUGGUUGUAAAGCACUUUAAGCGAGGAGGAGGCUACUGAGACUAAUACUCUUGGAUAGUGGACGUUACUCGCAGAAUAAGCACCGGCUAACUCUGUGCCAGCAGCCGCAGUAAAAC